AAAAAUUUGACAAAUUAAGCCUGAGUUCUUCAAAAUUCGACUCAACUCCGCUCGAUUAGUUUACACUCUUACCUAAAAUCAAUAGUUCUAACUCAAAAAAUUCCAAAUCUUAUUCUUAAAGUCUUAAAUGAAAAUUUUGAUAAGAAGCCCAAAGAGUAACCUGAACAACUACAACCUUCCCAUUAAAUUUUUAACAUCACACAAAGAAGUUUUAAUUUUUAAAGAAAAUGAAUAACCGGAAUGAAGGCUAGUUUGCUGGAUUAUUCCCAUCGAAGUAUGUCAUCUUUGUUCAGAUUCAGAAACCGGAUUGUUUCUUCCAGACUUUUACGUCCUUCCAGAACUUCAAGUAUCCGACUCAUUGGUGGCCUACGUUGUGGAUCAUCAUGCACACAAGCUAAAACACAAGCAACCAUUUGAUCCAUUUGUUUAGGGUCAUAGUACCCCUGUAAUUCCUCAUCGACAAAAUUGGACAUGUCCUUGCCUUCGAACAAACUUUUUGAGAGCAUAGGCUUAGCCUAAAUAUUAAUACAUGAAAUUAAAGGAUUGUUAUACUAGUUGAGCUCUAAACAGAGCUCUUCUUUUCGUCAAAGUGAUAAAAAAAAAAAUGAAUAAAAAAUGAUUUGUAAAACGGAAAUAGGUUCAAUUUUUCUUAUGACCAAUAUUCUUACGUAGAUUGCGAUUUUAGACUUUGAUUAGUUGAGAAACAACUACGUACCCAUUUAACCAUGUUAGUGUGCCCACUGAAAUGACCAACAGGUUGUUUCCCGGUAAUCAACUCCAAAAGAAUUACACCAAAGGAAUAAAUGUCAAGCUUAUCAGUAAGCUUGUUGGUAGUUUGAUAUUCAGGAGCCAUGUAACCAGAAUUUAUCAUGACUUGGCUGAUGGAGAGAUGAGUUAAAGAAUCCGGGAAAAUCUUGGCACUUCCAAACUCUGCAAGCUUUGGUUCAAAUUUUUCAUCAAGAAAAACAUUAUCUGAUUUGACAUAUAGGUGUAAGAUCCUGGGUUUGCAGUCUUCAUGCAUAUAUUUCAAUCCUUCCGCUAAGCCUUCAGCUAUUUUCAUCCGUUUUGACCAGUCUAAAUCAGUUGAACUCCCAUUUCCAUGUAAAUGAGAUUUCAAAGAAUCGUCGGAAAUAAACUCAAAAACAAGCAAUCUAUUGUUUUCCUUGUCACUGCAGUAUCCAAUGAGCGUAAUAAUAUUUCGGUGACGAACAUGGUUAAUGGCUUCGAUCUCCUCCUCGAAUUCAUCUUUUCGCUGUUCUGACACGUGUUUAAUUCUCUUAAUUGCCACAUUUUGAUUAUUAUUAUCUGGAAGGACUCCCUUAUAGACUUCAAAAAAAUGAUCAUUCCGACGGAGGUGUUCGUUAGAGAAACUACUAGUUACACUUGCUAGUUCUUCAAAAGAAAAUGUCCGCAGCAAUGUAGGAGGCUUCAGUUCAUUUGGAUAUGGCCUCCGAGAUUGGUUAUCUUGCCGGGAAGUUUCGCCUUUUGCAAGCCAUAAGUUCUCAGGAGGCAUUUUUCCUUCAAGAACGAAUACUAUUUCUUUCAUUGUCGGUCGAGAUUUUGAAGGUUUAUACACACUAGCAGCAGCACAAUAAAUCAUUCGUUCCAUUUGACUUGGAUUAUAAUCUUUCUUUAAUUUAGAAUCAAUAAGAUCAGUAUAAUUGUCUUUGAUCAAAGGCUUCGCCCAUUUUACGAUACCUUCUCCAGCAAAAGGGUCUCUCCCAGUUAUUAACUCUAGAAGCACGACACCAAAAGAAUAAAUAUCUGAUUUUUUAGAAAGUUUUUGAGCAGGAUAUUCUUCUGGAUCUGCAUAUAUGUUAGUUCCCUUCCAUGUGGUGCUUAUGUGAGUAACACUGCCAGUUUCUGGAAAAAAUUUAGCGAGUCCAAAAUCUGCAAUCUUUGAUUCAAAGUUACUAUCAAUAAGAAUAUUAUCUGCCUUGAUAUCUCGAUGAAUAAUUGGAGGAGUACCUGAAGAUAUUUGUUUGAAGAGACUAAAAGCUUUCAAGGGAAAAUAGAUUAAUAAAACAAAAACACAGGAAAAAAAUUUUUAAAGUACAUCGAGUCUCAAGCCUCAAGAAGUGAAUGUACGAUUACUCACAGCCUUUAUGCAGAUAUUCUAAUCCUUUUGCAGAACUUAUGGCAAUUUUCAUUCUUUUUGACCACUCCAAAGUUGGUUGUUGAUUUCCAUGUAGAUGAAAUCUCAAGGAUUUGUUGGGAACAAACUCUAAAACAAGCAAUCUAUUGUAUUCGUCGCAGCAAUACCCAAUCAACCUAACAAGAUAUCGGUGACGCACAAUGCCAACGGCCAUAAUCUCCUUCUCGAAUUCUUCUUUCCCAGGUUUAUCUUUGUUGUAUGCAAGUUUCUUAAUAGCAACUUCGCGACUUUGAAGGUUUUCCCUAUUAUUUUUUUUGAAGGAAAGGGUUCCACUAAAGACCUCACCAAAACCACCACCGCCAAGGCGGUGGGCGUAGGAGAAACUUCCAGUUGCAUUUGCUAGAACUGUAAACUCAAAUUCCUUCGGCCCAUGUGGAUUGUCCUCCUUAGGUGCAAGCGCGUUAUACGGUGACGAAUCUUGCUGGGAAUUAACAAACCAUAAUUCCUUUGUGGACUUUUGUCCUUCAAGAACUUCAACUAUCUGUUUCAUGUUUGGCCGGGAUUCUAACGGUUUAUAUAUGCUAAUAACAGCACAAUGAAUCAUUCGCCCCAUUUCACUUGCAUUAUAGUGCCCUUUCAAUGUGGAAUCAAUGAGACGAGCAUAAUCGUCUUCGACCAAAUCUUCUCCUUUAUUCAUUAGAGCCUUCGCCUUCUUGAUGUCUUUAUUUUGAACUUUUUUCCCCGUAAUCAGCUCUAGAAGCACAAUACCAAAGAAAUAAACAUCUGACUUCUCACAGACCUUUUGAACAGGAUGAUUUUUAUAAUCAAUUUUUGAAUAAAACUUGGCAAGUCCAAAUUCUGCAACCUUCGGUUUAAAACUAUCGUCAAGAAGAAUAUUAGCUGCCUUGAUGUCUCCGUGAAUGAUUUUGGGGCUACAUUCUUUAUGUAGAUAUGCCAAUCCUUUUGCAGUGUCUAUGGCGAUUUUCAUUCUUACUGACCAAUUCAAAUUUGAUGGUCUUUUUUCAUCAUAUAGAUAAUCUUUCAACGAUUUGUUGGGAAAAUACUCUGAAACAAGCAAUCUGUUGAAUGAAUCAAUGCAGUACCCAAUCAGGCUAACUACAUUUUCGUGACGUAGAGUGCCAAAUGCGUUAAUGAACUCCUUGAAUUCCUUUUCCCACUGUUUGUCCAUAAUUUCAAGCUUCUCAAUAGCAAUAACUUCACCAGCUGGAAGGGAUCCCUUGAAGUGCUCGCCGAAACUUCCCUUGCCAAGGAAGUUCCGCAUGGAGAAAUAUCCAGUUGCCUUCCCUAGUUCUUCAUAUUCAUAUUCUUUUAGCCCAUUUGCUUUGGCAUCCUUACGUACAGGUGCGUGACUUUCCUCCUCAUUGGAUGGCAUAGCUCUGGCAGUGCUGCGGAUCUGCCUCAAUAGUAAAGUUGCAGGGUCCUACAGUUAUGCUACCACCACUGCAACAAAUGUCGGCGACAGUACCGUGGCCGGAGAGGUUUUGUAUGGUUUUAGAGUUCUUUACACUCCUACAGUUUUG
rnacentral:misc_RNA from 1 species